UACGAAGGGGGCUAGCGUUGCUCGGAAUCACUGGGCGUAAAGGGUGCGUAGGCGGGGUUUUAAGUCAGGGGUGAAAUCCUGGAGCUCAACUCCAGAACUGCCUUUGAGACUGAGUGGCUUGAGUACGGGAGAGGUGAGUGGAAUUCCCAGUGUAGAGGUGAAAUUCGUAGAUAUUGGGAAGAACACCGGUGGCGAAGGCGGCUCACUGGCCCGUAACUGACGCUCAUGCACGACAGCGUGGGGAUCAAACAGG
rnacentral:rRNA from 1 species